GACGAACGCUGGCGGCGUGCUUAACACACGCAAGUCGAACGGAGAUUCAGCAAUGGAUCUUAGUGGCGAACGGGUGAGUAACGCGUAGGCAAUCUGCCUUCUAGAUGGGGACAACAUCCCGAAAGGGGUGCUAAUACCGAAUGUUGUAUGGUCUUCGCAUGGAGAUGAUACUAAAGGUGGCCUCUGAAUAUGCUACCGCUAGAAGAUGAGCCUGCGUCUGAUUAGCUAGUUGGAGGGGUAACGGCCCACCAAGGCUUCGAUCAGUAGCCGGUCUGAGAGGAUGAACGGCCACACUGGGACUGAGACACGGCCCAGACUCCUACGGGAGGCAGCAGUGGGGAAUCUUCCGCAAUGGACGAAAGUCUGACGGAGCAACGCCGCGUGAGUGAAGAAGGUUUUCGGAUCGUAAAGCUCUUUCGUUAGGGACGAACGUGCUCUUUGUGAAUAAUGAGGAGUAAUGACGGUACCUAAUAAGAAGCCACGGCUAACUAUGUGCCAGCCGCCGCUGUAA
rnacentral:rRNA from 1 species